UCGAGUUUAUUUGGCUCUGAUGCUGGCCUCUUAGGCAUGUGCUCGGGUCAUUAAAUCCACUCAACCACUGUGCACUAAUUCGAAGCUUUGCGGUGGGCCCUCUCCGGGGUCAGCCGGGCUUUGAGCCUUCAUAAACUACUUUAUUGUCAUGUCGAAUGUGAAUAUUAAAAUAUAAUA
rnacentral:misc_RNA from 1 species